rnacentral:lncRNA from 1 species
GCUCAGUCUGCUUUCUCACAUACCCAGCUAUAUUCCAUGGGGCACAGCCAUGGCAUGAAGAUGACUGAGUCAGGAAAGGACAAUAUCAGUGCCAGACCAGCUCUCCUCUUGGACAGUCUUAACCCUAUUCUCGAACUAAAGGCACUCAAUGGACCUGAUGUAUUUCACAGAUGUUCUAACUAGGAGUACCUAAAAUAAGGACUUUGAGUCUUGUUUCUUUUCAACUGCCAAAGAAUCUCCCAAAUCACAUUAUAAAUACAGGAUUUGACCUUGAAGGAGUGUCCAUUAGUGUAUUGAAUGCCCUUGCCAGUAGCGGUCAAAAACUGAGACUUUGUCAAGUCAGGAAACACCCUAUUAGAACUCUUCCACAAGGACACUGGGUAAACACUAGCCUCACAUCAACUGAGCCUCUCAUAUAGUGCAGCCCAGAACAAAGUUGUAUGCCUCAAAGUGACCUGAUAACUAGAAUCAGAAGUAGCAAUAUUUAAAUGACCUUUAUCAAACAGUAAUAAAAAAACAGUAAUUUUCAGUCUUACAUCAUUGGGCCAUAAAGACAGAGUAAUAGUUGGUGAGAACCGACUACAGGCUGAGCUCUUCCACACGUGUCAUCCUUAUUAAUACUCGUUGAAAAGGAAAGGGUACAGGGAAGAGCAGAGUCCCCAGAUAUGCAGAUACUAAGACAGUCCUAACACAUUUUGUCUCAUUAGAAAGCUAAGGCUUGGAGAAGCUAAGGAACCUGUCCAGGUUCACACAGCCAGUACAUAGCAGAGCUGGGAUUCAGAAUCAAGUCUUUGUAACUUCAGCAUCUGUGUCUUAACCCCUACAUCCUAGAGAACCUAUGGCUUGUCAGUGAAAUAAGUGGUUAACUCAUCAAAUUGGCAUACAUGUAGAAAACAUAAGAAUGGGGUCCAUCUAAGACUCUAUAUCUUUUUCUCUUCAUAUCUCUAUUUCAUGCCAGGUGUGUCUUGGUGAUUAAUGCUUCUGAAGUUCUGAGUGUGUCCAGAUGAUCUGCUAUCUACAGAACAUAAAUGGGAAAUUUCAAGAUGGUGUUCUUUAACAGGCUUACCACCAAAUGCUGUCAGAAAACUAAAAUUGUCCAGGCUAUUUUGAGACCAAGUUUUAUCCAGAUUCUCCCCAAAGUAAACUGACGUUCAUGAAUCUCAGAGCUGUUCUUUGCCUCACAUUUUAGUUGGAGUCAUAUGGCUAGAGUUUGUGCUCAAAUUCAUGUUCCUUGGUUGACGCUAACCCUUCUGAAAAGCAUAGUGGAAUUACAUGGUCACAGGUGAAAGUGGGGGCCUGCACUCACAAGUUCAAAAUAAAGGCAAGGCAAGUUUGACUCGAAUAUGAACACAGUACCAGGAAUAAAAUUAGAAAUUGCCCAUUUUAUGUUUAUACGCCUCAUAGGCUGACAGUGGAUAUAGCUUGUUUACUUUUAAGUAUAAAUUACCAAGUUUUCCCACCUUGAGAUAGGAACCUGACUGUGAGACAAAAUCUUCUCUUCUUCUCUCCUUUUGUAACAAGUAGAGGUGGCUUGGUGAAAUGUGUGUUAGUUUUUAUUCCAGGUGAGAAAGUAGAAGUAAGCCUGUAAAUUCUGAGUAAUGCAUCCAAGAUGCAUCUGAGACUAGUCUGGACGGGACACUAAUAUAAAUAGUAACAAGGACCAUAAAUGUCACCACUCCCUAAGCUGCCCCAUUAUUGGCACUUGACACUUGGCCCUGGGUCCUAGAGCCCUUAUGGUCGCUGUGCAGCCUGGGAAGUGAUGCAGGGUGACACACAUGGAGAAUCUUUUCUUGGAAAUGGGUUUGGAGGACAGCCUAUUGUAAACAAUAAGCCCUUGUGUGUGUGAAUGAAAAUAAACUCAGACAGUGCAUAGGGUUACGGUUAUGUGUUGAAAGGCAAAAAUCCACCACCUGUCACCUAUCCACAGGCCCUGACCAGAGCAUUUGCCUGAGUCUGGAAUCCCAUUCUAGGACCUUGGACUAAGUGAUCAGACAUUUCUUUACAAGAGUCCAGUGACUUAGAGAUAGACUCCCAUGGAAUUUAAACUUGUUUAAAAAAACACAUAAUUUGGGAGUUCCCAUUGUGGCUCAGUGGUAACAGACCUAACUAGUAUCCAUGAGGAUGCAGGAUCAAUCCCUGUCCUCAUUCAGUGCAUUAAGGAUCCAGUGUUGCUGUGAUCUGUGUAGGUUGCGGACAUGGCUCAGAUCCCACAUUGCUGUGGCUGUGAUGUAGACCAGCAGCUGCAGCUCUGAUUCAACCCCUAGCCUGGGAACUUCCAUAUGCCAUACAUGCAGCUGUAAAAAGCAAAAAACAAAACAAAACGAAACAAAACAAAAAACCAAAACAACAACAACCCCUGAAAAACAUAAUUUGGGCAUGUAUUUUAAUAAAGAAAGCCAUGUUGUAUGAGGCAGUCACGUAAUCUUUCAUCUGUCAGCCUGUUACCGGUUACCCAAAUGCCACAGUGGAUAGGCUACACUGGGUCAGCUUUCAUAUAUUUCCCUCCAGUCAUUGUACAUGAUAUUAUCCAGUCACAGCAUGUCUGUUGGCCCCAAGCUGUAUGAGUGAGAAAUAUGACAAGCUCUCCAGCUUUAUCCCUCCAGACAGAUAAACAUCAUAAUUUUCUAUCAUUGCUUUUGAUUCUAAAGUUUCUGUUAAGCAAAUAGCAUUUAUGGCCCAGAAAAUUGUAUAUAUGGGUCAGGAUGUUAUUUCUUUUCCUCCCUCAUAAUGUACAUCUCAGUUGAAAUGUUUCCUUCCUGCCUUCCUUUCUCACGUUGCACAGCUAGAGUUCUGGAGUUGACUGUAUAAUUUCAAGAGGAUAAUUUUCUAUCAAUGUAAAGCUCUUAGGAGGACUCAGGGAAAAGUAUUUUGGCACUUACUUAGGAAGAAUUACUAUGCUGGUUGCAGUAACAUUUUGGAAAUAAGAAGUGUCUUUAGUCUCAUGAUUACAUAAAUUUCUACUUGGCAAACAAGGAUUGUUCUGGCAUUGUGGUCCUAGUAUUUAAGACACCAUCUUUUUUUUUAACCUAAAUUCCUUUUCUGUGAAUCUGCAUUGUCAGUAAGGACAUAACCCAGGGGGUACUGGCUGUAAUUUUAUUGCUCAAGCUGACGGACAAUGCAAGGGUCCAGGGGACUCAAAUGUUUUAAGUUAUUUUAUGUGGUACAGAGGACUGGAAAGAGGGCGGUGUCCCAGCUUUUCAUCCAGUUGGCUGGUAUACAGCUACUGAAGAGAGCUCUAGGGCACACAGGGGAAGCAUGGCUCCUGCAUUUUCAUAAUAGGCUUUCAGAAAUAGGAACCUUUCUGGUAGCAAAUGAGUCCCAAUGGCAGCUUAACACUCCAAAAUGAGUUAGAACUUUUACCCUAAGUGUAGGUUCCCAGGGUAUGCUCUGUGGGCCCCUGGAAAACUACAGCUUUGCAAAGGGUGAGAAAUUCACAAUUGGGGAGAAAAUUACCUGGAUGACAUGUCUCAAACAAUUGUGUCCUAGGUCAUCUAAUGUAGUGGUUAAGGAUCUGGACCCUGACAGGUUCAAGUCCUGGAUAUGGCUCUCCCUGGAUGUAUGGUCCUAAACACGUGAUUUCAGCUCUGAGUCCUUCAGUUUCUUCAUUUCUGCAAAAUGUGGGCAAGUGUUAUUCACAUAGUUAGGACUCAAUACAUUUUACCUUUUUUUUUUUUGCUUUUUAGGGCUGCACCUGUAGCAUAUGGAGGUUCCCAGUCCAGGGGUUGAAUCAGAGCUGCAGCUGCCAGCCUAUGCCACAGCCAUCACAAUGCAGGAUCUGAGCUGCAUCUGCAACCUACACCGCAGCUCAUGGCAACUCCGGAUCCUUAACCCACUGAGUAAGGCUAGGGAUUGAACCUGUCUCCUCAUGGACACUGGUUGGGUUUGUAACCCACUGAACCACUAUAGGAAUUCCCUAGUUAUUGUUAUUAUUUGACAGACAUACAUGUGGCUGCCAUCAUGAUAAAUUAAAAAGACAUUCACUUGAAUAUGAUUUCUUGGCUACUCUCUGCAAAUAAAUACAGUUUCAAUGGAUAGACACCAAAUGCAGGAUUACCAUUACAUGGGAGGCCCUCAUUCUCAGGAAGGGGUGGAAGGAAUAAAGAGGUGAGGCUGAAUUAUCCUAAAAUAGAGAAAAAAAUAUAUAUGUCAGACAAGGCCAACAUCUUCCAUUUGGCACAAUAGACAGAAUCUAGGACUCAUGAUAUUUGCAGGGGCUCUUAAAAGUGUUCUUUUAAAAUUAGAAGAGGUGUUUUAAUAUGUACUGUUAAUACAUUCAUCUUUAUGUGUAUCAUUUUUAAUAUUCUUAUGGAGGAAGGGGACAAUGAAGACAGAACUACCAAGGCCCACAGAUUCAUAAUGAGGCCCUGACUGCAGGUGUCUCUGUUACAUCUCUUCAUGCACUUCUCUGUGUCCCCUACUGAAUGGGGAGGUCUUCGAGCAGAGGUUGCAACUUCUUGGCAGUUAUACAUGCAAACCCUGUCACAUAAUAGGCAGCCAAUAAAUGUAUGAUAAAUGAAGGAUAUGAUUAGCAUUUCACAGCACAUGCAAUAAGCAUGAUGCCCUGGAAAGGAGGUUGUUACUAAGUCUCUGAGUCAAUCCAAGGGCAGCCUAGAAGUGCAGUUGGAAGUGGUAUCUAAUGUUAAUGGAUGAAAAUUCAAAAGGAGGCAAAAGUCAUUGAGCAGGGCAAAAGAGAAAGAGGGAGAGAUUAUUCUGUUUUCUUUGGAUUUUCCUUAGAGUAGUCUUUGCAUAAAAGACUGGAAGUUUAAAUCCAACUGGGGUACAGCGCCUGGGAAGGGAGCCCUGAGACAUGGGUCCUGGAAGAGUCAGGCGGUUUGCAGCAGAGGAGAGCAGCAUGGCUAUUGCAGACAUUCCACAUCCUCUCACCCCUCCCUUAGAGCUCUUCUGGGUCCUCCGCUGCCUGAGGCCAGGGAAGCGAGAAAAGUACUUGGAGGACAACAUCUCCAGGAAGCCAAAUUCUGUAAGGUAGCUAAGAACCAAAUCCAAUUGGAGUCAAGUUGAAAUGCCAAGGUUCUGCCAGAACUCACUGCAAAUGGGACGUACUUCAUGGGAUACAGGGAUGCCGUAGAGGUGGUCUGUUCAGAGGGGGAAGAAUUGGGGAGAAAAUUUUUAAAAAAUCAAGGUAACUACAGUCUUUGGGGAAAAGGAAAAUAUUUCUACUUUGGACUUUUAGGUGAAUCUCCUUUGCUUCCAUUCCUGUAUAUUUCAAAUAUAUUUCAAAUACAGUGAGAUCUAUUUACAACAGGGGCUAUUAUACAGAAAUCAAAAUAAGUAACAGUAUGAAUGAUUCUUAGCAAUUAGAUAUUUAAUUUUAAAAGUCCUAAAGUAUUACCAAUAGCAUGAUAAUAUUGAGAAAUUUUUAUAUGGAGAAUUGUCAGCAUAUGCAACCAGCAAGAAGACUAGAAUUUCCUCCAUGUACUCACCAUUCAGCUUCCAUCUUGGCCCCUCUGGCUUCAUCUAUGUCUUACCUGUCUACCCCUCCUUUAUUAUUUUGAAGAAAAUCUCAGAUAUCAGAAAGUGCCAUCUUUAUAAUGUUAAAAGUAACUAAAAUUAAAAAAAAAAUAUUUUCAGAGUUCCCGCUGUAGGGCAGUGGGUUAAGAAUCUGACUGCAAUGGCUUAGGUCACUGCAGAGGCAUGGGUUCAACCCCCAGCCUGGCCCAGUGGGUUAAAGGAUCCAGUGUUGCUGCAGUUGCAGUGUAGGUCAUAGUGGCUCAGAUUCAAUCCCUGGAAUCUUCCAUAUGCCUUGGAUAGAAGUAGAUUACUGCCUGGGAUUUUUUUUAAUUGAAGUACUGUUGAUUUACUAUGUUGUGUUAGUUUCAGGUGUAUAGCAAAGUAAUUCAGAUAUAUAUAUAUAUAUAGAUAUAUCGAUAUAUAGAUAUACACAUGUAUAUAUACAUAUAUAUAUAUAUAUAUUCUUUUUAAGAUUCUUUUCCCUUAUAGGUUAUUACAUAUUGAGUAUAAUUCCCUUAGUUAUGUGUUUUAUAUAUAGUAGUGUGUGUGUGUUAAUCCCAACUGAGAUUUUGUUUUGAAUGGCCAGUUCUGGGUACUUAUUACCUUGUUAAAAAUAAUUGAGAACUAACUAUACACAUAAAAGAAAAUCAUUUAAGAACCAACAGGAGGGAGUUCCCAUUGUGGCUCAGGGCAUUAAGAACCCGACUAGUAUCCAUGAGGAUGCAGGUUCAAUCCCUGGCCUUUCUCUGUGGUCAAGUAUCUGGCAUUGCUGUAAGUUGUGGAAUAGGACAAAGAUGCAGUUCAGAUCUGGCAUUGCUGUGGCUGUGGUAUAGGCCUGCGGCUGCAGCUCUGAUUUGAUCCCUAGCCUGGGAAAUCCCAUAUGCCA